rnacentral:lncRNA from 1 species
GGCCUUCUACUUCCUGGACUACCCACAUCUACUACAUGUCUUUUACAAAGAAGGUACGAUCUUCUCUGCUUUGGAAGAAAUCUGUAAUGGAUUACAAAGCCCACUCCACCGCCCACCAUUGACCUUUCAGUAUUGGAAGGAUCCGAGAACAUCAGAACAGUAAAUCAAAGUCCCAGAGCUCCUGGGACAGACAGAUGAGUUUUCCAUGGGAAAUGCUGUGUGAUCGAGCCCCGCAAUGUCUAUAAGAAGUUUACCACUACAACAAAGCCAGAGAUUCCAUACCACACACCAAUGACGAUGUUACUCAGCAUCUGGGAGCAGGCGAUGCAACUUUCAAAACAUUUUGUAAAAGCAAUAAAUCUCCACUCUGACCAA